AUCCAACUGAUGAGUGCCAAAUAGGAAGAAACGCGCGUCGAAAUGGAU
rnacentral:hammerhead_ribozyme from 1 species